UUGCUGUGAUGUGAAUCUCUCGCUGAACUAAACCGAAUCUUGAUGUGUCUAAAUUCAUGAGCUUUUUAACCCUGAGCAAU